rnacentral:rRNA from 1 species
CAAACAGGAUUAGAUACCCUGGUAGUCCACGCUGUAAACGAUGUCGACUUGGAGGUUGUGCCCUUGAGGUGUGGCUUCCGGAGCUAACGCGUUAAGUCGACCGCCUGGGGAGUACGGCCGCAAGGUUAAAACUCAAAUGAAUUGACGGGGGCCCGCACAAGCGGUGGAGCAUGUGGUUUAAUUCGAUGCAACGCGAAGAACCUUACCUGGUCUUGACAUCCACGGAAGUUUUCAGAGAUGAGAAUGUGCCUUCGGGAACCGUGAGACAGGUGCUGCAUGGCUGUCGUCAGCUCGUGUUGUGAAAUGUUGGGUUAAGUCCCGCAACGAGCGCAACCCUUAUCCUUUGUUGCCAGCGGUCCGGCCGGGAACUCAAAGGAGACUGCCAGUGAUAAACUGGAGGAAGGUGGGGAUGACGUCAAGUCAUCAUGGCCCUUACGACCAGGGCUACACACGUGCUACAAUGGCGCAUACAAAGAGAAGCGACCUCGCGAGAGCAAGCGGACCUCAUAAAGUGCGUCGUAGUCCGGAUUGGAGUCUGCAACUCGACUCCAUGAAGUCGGAAUCGCUAGUAAUCGUGGAUCAGAAUGCCACGGUGAAUACGUUCCCGGGCCUUGUACACACCGCCCGUCACACCAUGGGAGUGGGUUGCAAAAGAAGUAGGUAGCUUAA